AACCUCCGCAAUGUGAGAAAUCGCGACGGGGGGAUCCCAAGUGCCAUUCUUAACGGGAUGGCUUUUCAUUAGUGUAAAGAGCUUUUGGAAUAAGAGCUGGGCAAGACCGGUGCCAGCCGCCGCGGUAACACCGGCAGCUCUAGUGGUAGCAAUUUUUAUUGGGCCUAAAGCGUCCGUAGCCGGUUUAAUAAGUCUCUGGUGAAAUCCUGUAGCUUAACUGUGGGAAUUGCUGGAGAUACUAUUAGACUUGAGACCGGGAGAGGUUAGAGGUACUCCCAGGGUAGAGGUGAAAUUCUGUAAUCCUGGGAGGACCGCCUGUUGCGAAGGCGUCUAACUGGAACGGUUCUGACGGUGAGGGACGAAAGUUAGGGGCGCGAACCGGAUUAGAUACCCGGGUAGUCCUAACUGUAAACGAUGCGGACUUGGUGUUGGGUGGCUUUGAGCUGUCUCAGUGCCGAAGGAAGCUGUUAAGUCCGCCGCCUGGGAAGUACGGUCGCAAGACUGAAACUUAAGGAAUU
rnacentral:rRNA from 1 species